rnacentral:piRNA from 1 species
UUUGAAGAGAACGUGCAGCCCAAGGCU